GACGAACGCUGGCGGCGUGCUUAACACAUGCCAGUCGAACGGAAAGGCCCUGCUUUUGUGGGGUGCUCGGGUGGCGAACGGGGGAGUAACACGUGAGUAACCUGCCCUUGCCUUUGGGAUAACUUCAGGAAACUGGGGCUAAUACCGCAUAGGAGCUCCUGCUGCAUGGUGUGGGGUGGAAAGUUUCGGCGGUUGGGGAUGGACUCGCGGCUUAUCAGCUUGUUGGUGGGGUAGUGGCUUACGAAGGCUUUGACGGGUAGCCGGCCUGAGAGGGUGACCGGCGACAUUGGGACUGAGAUACGGCCCAGACUCCUACGGGAGGCAGCAGUGGGGAAUAUUGCACAAUGGGCGGAAGCCUGAUGCAGCAACGCCGGGUGCGGGAUGACGGCCUUCGGGUUGUAAACCGCUUUCGCCUGUGACGAAGCGUGAGUGACGGUAAUGGGUAAAGAAGCACCGGCUAACUACGUG
rnacentral:rRNA from 1 species